GGGGGAGAGGUGUGAGAGGGGGUCAAAGACAGAAAGGGAAAGAUGAGAACAGAGGAGCAGGGAAGAAAGAGGAGGUGGGGGAGAGGUGUGAGAGGGGGUCAAAGACAGAAAGGGAAAGAGAUGAGAACAGAGGAGCAGGGAAGAAAGAGAGGUGGGGGAGAGGUGUGAGAGGGGGUCAAAGACAGAAAGGGAAAGAUGAGAACAGAGGAGCAGGGAAGAAGUAGGAGGUGGGGGAGAGGUGUGAGAGGGGGUCAAAGACAGAAAGGGAAAGAGCAGAACAGAGCAGAACAGAGGAGCAGGGAAGAAAGCUUAUGAUUCAUGAAUCACAGUGCAACUAAACUACGUAUUCUCUCAGGUCAUCACAGUUACAUAAUAGUAUCUCUACCGGUGUCUCCUAACCAGCCUUGGGCCCCCAGUUGGGUUGUCUUUGAGCGGAUGAGGUGACG
ensembl:lncRNA